UCCCGUUGAUCCUGCGGGAGAUAACUGCUAUCGGGAUACGACUUAGCCAUGCAAGUCCAGGGGGUGUUUCGGCACCACCGGCGAAGGGCUCAGUAACACGUCAAUAAUCUACCUUAUGGUUAGGGAUAGCCUUGGGAAACUGAGGGUAAUACCUAAUAGAAGAUAAAUACUGGAAUGUUUUAUCUUUUAAAGGCAACGCCAUAAGAUGAGUUGGCGGCUGAUUAGGUUGUUGGUGAGGUAAAGGCUCACCAAGCCGACGAUCAGUAGGGGGGAUGAGAGUCCUAGCCCCGAGAAGGACACUGAGAUAAGGGUCCUAGCCCUAAGGGGUGCAGCAGGCGCGAAACCUUUACAAUGCACGAAAGUGUGAUAAGGGUAUCCCGAGUGCUUACCUUAUGGUGAGCUUUUGCCAAGUGUAAAAAGCUUGGAGAAUAAGUGGUGGGAAAGACCGGUGCCAGCAGCCGCGGUAACACCGGCGCCACGAGUGGUUAUCAGUUUUAUUGGGUCUAAAGCGUCUGUAGCCGAUUAUUUAAGUCUUUUGUGAAAUUGUUGGGCUUAACCCAUCAACGGGCAAGAGAUACUGGAUAGUUAGGGACCGGGAGGAGACAAGAGAACUCAUUGGGAAGCGGUAAAAUGUUUUAAUCCUUUGAGGACUACCGAUGGCGAAGGCACUUGUCCAGAACGGGUCCGACGGUGAGAGACGAAAGCCAGGGGAGCGAACAGGAUUAGAUACCCUAGUAGUCCUGGCCGUAAACGCUGCCAACUAUGUGUUGCAUGUUCUCUGUGAACAUGCAGUGCCGGAGUGAAGACGUUAAGUUGGCCACCUGGGAAGUACGGCCGCAAGACUGAAACUUAAAGGAAUUGGCGGGGGCGCACUACAAGGAGUGCGGCGUGCGGUUUAAUUUAACUAUACGCAGAACAUCUCACCAGAAGCGACGGCAGGAUGAAGGUCAGAUUGAAGGUUUUACCUGACGAGCCGAGAGAUGGUGCAUGGCCGCCGUCAGUUCGUGCCGUAAGGUGUCCUGUUAAGUCAGGUAACGAACAAGACCUAUACUUACAUUUGCUAACGAGUCAUUCCGAUGUUCGAGCACUAUGUAGGGACUGCCUUGGUAACAAGGAGGAAGGUGUAGGCAACGGUAGGUCUGUAUGCCUCGAAUCUUCUGGGCUACACGCGCGCAACAAUGGUUGGGACAAUGGGCUACAACUCCGAAAGGAGAAGUCAAUCCUCCAAACCCAAUCUUAGUUCAGAUUGAGGGCUGUAACUCGCCCUCAUGACGAUGGAAUUCCUAGUAAUCGGGUUUCAACACGGCCCGGUGAAUAUGUCCCUGUGCCUUGCACACACUGCCCGUCACUCCAACCGAGCAGGGUCUAGAUGAGGUGUAAUCUUUUUGAUUAUUCCGAAUCUAGGUUCAGUGAGGAGGGAUAAGUCGUCACAAGGUA
rnacentral:rRNA from 1 species